rnacentral:rRNA from 1 species
GGCUCAGGAUGAACGCUGGCGGUCUGCUUAACACAUGCAAGUCGAACGGGCUCUUCGGAGCUAGUGGCGGACGGGUGAGUAACGCGUGAGAAUCUGCCUUCAGGAGGGGGAUAACGACUGGAAACGGUCGCUAAUACCCCAUAUGCCUCCGGGUGAAAAGUAAUUCGCCUGAAGAUGAGCUCGCGUCAGAUUAGCUAGUUGGUGGGGUAAGAGCCUACCAAGGCGACGAUCUGUAGCUGGUCUGAGAGGAUGAUCAGCCACACUGGGACUGAGACACGGCCCAGACUCCUACGGGAGGCAGCAGUGGGGAAUUUUCCGCAAUGGGCGCAAGCCUGACGGAGCAAGACCGCGUGGGGGAUGACGGCCUAAUGGUUGUAAACCCCUUUUCUCUGGGAAGAAGACUGACGGUACCAGGGGAAUCAGCCUCGGCUAACUCCGUGCCAGCAGCCGCGGUAAUACGGAGGAGGCAAGCGUUAUCCGGAAUUAUUGGGCGUAAAGCGUCCGUAGGUGGUUAUUCAAGUCUGCUGUCAAAGCGUGGGGCUUAACUCCAUAGAGGCAGUGGAAACUGAGUGACUAGAGUGCGGUAGGGGUCGAGGGAAUUCCCAGUGUAGCGGUGAAAUGCGUAGAUAUUGGGAAGAACACCAGUGGCGAAAGCGCUCGACUGGGCCUGCACUGACACUGAGGGGCGAAAGCUAGGGGAGCGAAAGGGAUUAGAUACCCCUGUAGUCCUAGCCGUAAACGAUGGAUACUAGGUGUUGCUCGUCAUCGACCCGAGCAGUGCCGUAGCUAACGCGUUAAGUAUCCCGCCUGGGGAGUACGCUCGCAAGAGUGAAACUCAAAGGACUUGACGGGGGCCCGCACAAGCGGUGGAGUAUGUGGUCCAAUUCGAUGCAACGCGAAGAACCUUACCAGGGCUUGACCUGUCCG